rnacentral:rRNA from 1 species
GACGAACGCUGGCGGCGUGCUUAACACAUGCAAGUCGAACGGAAAGGCCCUGCUUUUGUGGGGUGCUCGAGUGGCGAACGGGUGAGUAACACGUGAGUAACCUGCCCUUGACUUUGGGAUAACUUCAGGAAACUGGGGCUAAUACCGUAUAGCAUCUCCUGCUGCAUGGUGGGGGUUGGAAAGUUUCGGCGGUUGGGGAUGGACUGGCGGCUUAUCAGCUUGUUGGUGGGGUAGUGGCUUACCAAGGCUUUGACGGGUAGCCGGCCUGAGAGGGUGACCGGCCACAUUGGGACUGAGAUACGGCCCAGACUCCUACGGGAGGCAGCAGUGGGGAAUAUUGCACAAUGGGCGGAAGCCUGAUGCAGAAACGCCGCGUGCGGGAUGACGGCCUUCGGGUUGUAAACAGCUUUAGCCUGUGACGAAGCGUGAGUGACGGUAAUGGGUAAAGAAGCACCGGCUAACUACGUG